AUUGAACGCUGGCGGCAGGCCUAACACAUGCAAGUCGAGCGGGGUUUUCGGACCUAGCGGCGGACGGGUGAGUAAUGCGUAGGAAGCUACCCGAUAGAGGGGGAUACCAGUUGGAAACGACUGUUAAUACCGCAUAAUGUCUACGGACCAAAGUGUGGGACCUUCGGGCCACAUGCUAUCGGAUGCGCCUACGUGGGAUUAGCUAGUUGGUGGGGUAAUGGCUCACCAAGGCGACGAUCCCUAGCUGGUUUGAGAGGAUGAUCAGCCACACUGGGACUGAGACACGGGCCAGACGCCUACGGGAGGCAGCAGUGGGGAAUGUUGGACAAUGGGCGCAAGCCUGAUCCAGCCAUGCCGCGUGUGUGAAGAAGGCCUUCGGGUUGUAAAGCACUUUCAGUAGGGAGGAAGCGUUGUGUGUUAAUAGUCCACGGCGUUGACGUUACCUACAGAAGAAGCACCGGCUAACUCUGUGCCAGCCGCCGCCGUAACAC
rnacentral:rRNA from 1 species